rnacentral:rRNA from 1 species
CCCCCCCGGGGCCCNGCACAAGCGGUGGAGCAUGUGGUUUAAUCGGAAGCAACGCGCAGAACCUUACCAGCCCUUGACAUCNGAUNGCGGUUACCAGAGAUGGUUUCCUUCAGUUAGGNNGGAUCGGUGACAGGUGCUGCANGGCNGUCGUCAGCUCGUGUCNUGAGAUGUUGGGUUAAGUCCCGCAACGAGCGCAACCCUCGCCNUUAGUUGCCAUCAUUCAGUUGGGCACUCUAAGGGGACUGCCGGUGAUAAGCCGAGAGGAAGGUGGGGAUGACCCCANGUCCACAUGGCCCUUACGGGCUGGGNUACACACGUGNUACAAUGGUGGUGACAGUGGGCAGCGAGACCGCGAGGUCGAGCUAAUCUCCAAAAGCCAUCUCAGUUCGGAUUGCACUCUACAACUNGAGUGCAUGAAGUUGGAAUCGCUAGUAAUCGUGGAUCAGAAANNCACGGUGAAUACGUUCCCGGGCCUUGUACACACCGCCCGUCGUCAUGCUGAAAAAC